AGUAUGUGUAACAGUAUAGACUUUACGUCCGUCCCCUCGCCCCGACCUGGGCGUGAACCAGGGACGCUCUGCACACAUCAACAACAGCCACCCUCGAAGCAUCGUUACCCAUCGCUCCACAAAAGCCACGGCCCUUGCAGAGCAAGGGGAACCACUACUUCAAGGUCUCAGAGCAAGUGACGUCACCGAUUGAAACGCGACCAGCGCGCACCACCUCUAACUAGCUCGCCGUUUUUGCAUCGGCUACAUAUGCAACAAAAUUUCUGCAUGUACUCUCUGUAGUUACUGGAUAACAGUGUCUGUCUGCUACCUGUAAGUGUUGUUAUAAUUGACGUGAAGCUAUUUUAAUGUGAUCUCUCUCUCUCUCUCUCUCUCUCCCUAGAGAGGAACAACAGCCACGUCUAUCUAACUGUGCCGCCGGCUGCCAGGGCAUGCCUGUUGCCCGUUGGUCUACCGGUACUGUACGGAAGAAGAGCUGUUACAGAGACAGGACAGGUGGGACCUUCCAGUCUCAUCUCCAUGACUCCUGCGGCAUGGCCGGACUGGUCUACGGUGGGGACAUCAGCGCCUUCCUCCAUACGGCACCCCCUGGGUGGGGGGACAGCGACUCUGGACAGGAGUCUCCUAGCCAGGCUACGGGGGUUAAGGUACAUGGACACGGCCCCCAGACCCCUGGUCCUCACAUGGUCCAGAGAAGCACUGAUGACUGUGACACGGAGGAGGACGUUGGGGACACCUCCGUGUUCGACUACUCCUCCGUCACCACCUGUAGCCCAGACGGGACCCUGAGGGGGGAAGCGAGUAAUACCGAGGACGAGGAAGAGGACACAGACAGUCAGGUGCCUGUUCUGUUGAAGCCCUCGUACACACAGCAGCAGUCGCUGAGGGAUUCGCCCAGAGAACGGACGGUAUGUCUGAGGUGGCAGAUACCCAGGCUGCCGUACCCUUCUUCUCGAAGUCCUCGACACCACGCAGGACCAGCGGGCCUGGAGGGACAGGGUCAGACAUCAGGGCCAGCAGGACCCUAUGGGAACAGAGUCAUCAACAUCACUAAGGGACCACCUCCUCUCAUCCCCACCAGUGUCUUCAGACCCAUCUGGGAUGAACCACCAAAACAGGAAGAUGCAGCACCCGUAAAGGAAAAUACACCACAAGGCUUCAGACCGGUUCAAGCCACUGAGAGGCAGACAUUUCCUAACUUCAAAAAGCUAAGGUUCGAAACCCAGCCGAGAGUUGGCCACGUCCAGGCAGGAGCCAUGGGAGGUGUUGCAGUGUGGGAUGAGAGUGAGGAGGACAGUGAGGGGCCUUGUAGCACCGUAUGA
rnacentral:lncRNA from 1 species